UACGGAGGAUGCGAGCGUUAUCCGGAUUUAUUGGGUUUAAAGGGUGCGUAGGCGGAUUGAUAAGUCAGUGGUGAAAUUCUACAGCUUAACUGUAGACUUGCCGUUGAUACUGUUAGUCUUGAGUGUGGUCAAGGCAGGCGGAAUGUGUAAUGUAGCGGUGAAAUGCGCAGAUAUCAGGAGGAACACCAGUGGCGAAGGCGGCUUUCUGGGCCACGACUGACGCUGAGGCGCGAAAGCUAGGGGAGCGAACAGGAUUA
rnacentral:rRNA from 1 species